GACGAACGCUGGCGGCGUGUUUAACACAUGCAAGUCGAACGGAAAGGCCCUGCUUUUGUGGGGUGCUCGAGUGGCGAACGGGUGAGUAACACGUGAGUAACCUGCCCUUGACUUUGGGAUAACUUCAGGAAACUGGGGCUAAUACCGGAUAGGAGCUCCUGCUGCAUGGUGGGGGUUGGAAAGUUUCGGCGGUUGGGGAUGGACUCGCGGCUUAUCAGCUUGUUGGUGGGGUAGUGGCUUACCAAGGCUUUGACGGGUAGCCGGCCUGAGAGGGUGACCGGCCACAUUGGGACUGAGAUACGGCCCAGACUCCUACGGGAGGCAGCAGUGGGGAAUAUUGCACAAUGGGCGGAAGCCUGAUGCAGCAACGCCGCGUGCGGGAUGACGGCCUUCGGGUUGUAAACCGCUUUCGCCCGUGACGAAGCGUGAGUGACGGUAAUGGGUAAAGAAGCACCGGCUAACUACGUG
rnacentral:rRNA from 1 species